AUUCAUUGGGUUUAAAGGGUGCGUAGGUGGAAUUGUAAGUCGAUGGUGAAAGCCUACGGCUUAUCUGUAGAAUUGCCAUUGAUACUGCUAUUCUUGAGUACAGUUGAGGGAAGUGGAAUGUGUAAUGUAGCGGUGAAAUGCUUAGAUAUUACGCAGAGCACCGAUUGCGUAAGCAGCUUCCUAAACUGUAUACUGACGCUGAGGCACGAAAGCGUGGAGAGCGAACAGGAUUAGAUACCGUGGUAGUCCACGCUGUAAACUAUGAUCCCUUGGUGGUGGGGAAACUUUGUUAGCGAGUGAACGAAAAGAUUUAGUGAUCCCCCUGGGGAAGUUGGCCGCCAGGGAGGAAAUUCAAGGAAUUGAAGGGGGGCCGGACCAGCGGGGGAACCUGUGGUUUAAUUUGGUGAUUCGCGAAGAACCUUUCCUGGGGUUAAAUGCUGAACGGCGUUCCGGGAAAAUGGUACUCCCUUUGGGGCGGAAUGCCAGGUGCUGCAUGGUUGUUGUUAGCUCGUGCCGUGAAGUGUUGGGUUUAAUUCCAUAACGAGGGCAACCCUCUUUUUUAGUUGCCCGCGAGUAAUGUCGGGGACUUUAAGGAAACUGCCGAUGUAAACCGUGAGGAAGGUGGGGAUGACGUCAAAUCAGCACGGCCCUUAUGUCCAGGGCUACACACGUGUUACAAUGGCCGGUACAAAGGGCAGCUACCACGCGAGUGGAAGCUAAUCUCUAAAACCGGUCUCAGUUCGGAUUGAAGUCUGCAACUCGACUUCAUGAAG
rnacentral:rRNA from 1 species